UAAAAAUGCUAAUAUGCUAUGCUAAAUCUGCUAUGCUAAAUAAUGAUUUCUCUAUAGAAUUACAAAGUCCGACUGGGGGAGGAGAGUACAGGGCUGUGUCUCAAUUCAGGGUCUGCAUCCUACGUCGGCCGGUUACGUCACAGCGCCGCGACUAGGCCUGUCCCAAUUCGAAGACUCCUUCAAAUGCGGUCGACGAAUGCGGCCUUCUUUUCGCCUGAAUGAAGGAUGGGUCCGGUGUAUCCUUCAAUAGGUAGCAUUUCCCAAGAUGCCUUGCGGGCCGGCCGGCAGAAAAGCUUAAAAACAAUGGCGGACAGUGAAGCGGGAGCUGUCGGAGAGGAUUGCGCAUAUAAAUGUCAGUAUAAACUUGAAAACUGUUAGGUUAAGGACUUUUUGUGAUACAUGAACGUUAUUUUAGUUAGAAAUGUGACAGUAAAAGUGCUUGUAUUGCGGUCUCAGCUUGUAUGUUCGGCCGCGCUCGGUGUCGUACUUCUCCCGCUACGUUUCCCCCCUGAUUUUAAUAGGAGUUUGUAUUUUAGGUACAAGAGAAAACCAGGGAAUUUAUUAAGCUUAGGGCGGAGAUGGACCACAUGAUCACCGGAGCAAAGUAUUCGGCGGCUGUGGCAUGGAGACUAUUCUGGAGAAAAUGGGCAUCCAGGGGAAGGUGCCAGCGAUGACCAGCUUCUGGAGCUGAUCAGGGAGGACAUGAGGCUGCAGAGGGAGGCAGAGCAGCAGAGGGCCCAGGAGAGAAGGAAGAAUUUUGACAGCUUUUUACUUUGCUAGAAAAAAAUGGUUAAGGAAGAUUAAACAUGUACAUAUAAAAGAAAUAUCUAAAUAAAAUCAGUUCUGCAUUAAA